rnacentral:rRNA from 1 species
GUGGGGAAUAUUGCACAAUGGGCGCAAGCCUGAUGCAGCAACGCCGCGUGAGGGACGACGGCCUUCGGGUUAUAAACCUCUUUUAGCAGGGAAGAAGCGAAAGUGACGGUACCUGCAGAAAAAGCACCGGCUAACUACGUGCCAGCAGCCGCGGUAAUACGUAGGGUGCAAGCGUUAUCCGGAAUUAUUGGGCGUAAAGAGCUCGUAGGCGGUCUGUCGCGUCUGCUGUGAAAACCCGAGGCUCAACCUCGGGCCUGCAGUGGGUACGGGCAGACUAGAGUGCGGUAGGGGAGACUGGAAUUCCUGGUGUAGCGGUGGAAUGCGCAGAUAUCAGGAGGAACACCGAUGGCGAAGGCAGGUCUCUGGGCCGUAACUGACGCUGAGGAGCGAAAGCGUGGGGAGCGAACAGGAUUAGAAACCCUAGUAGUCC